UCAGACUACUCCCAGGUCGUCACCAGUCUCUGCUGAGGCCUGCCUGCCUGCCAUCCAUGCCAAGAAACCAGAUAUGUGAGCGACAGUGUCUCAGAUCCCCAGAGCAGCCCCUUGCCAGCUGGGUACCACUGAGUGAUCCCAGUUGUGACCGCACAGGGAACAAGAGAAUCUCCCACUGAGCCCCAUCCGCCCUCCCGACUGACAAGAAGAUGGUCGUGGUUAGUUACACUGCAGUAGACAGCCAGAACACCUCCAGAAGCCCUGACUCUGAGUGCCAUGGUGGCAUUUUGGGUCUUCUGGAAUUAAUGUUGGCUUGGAACUAGCCUCCAAUAAUCCCUAAAAUAUCUCGUAGUUCCUCCUCUCCAGUGCAAACUCUGAUGAAACAACAAAGGUUCAAGGGCAUCUGGCAGGCCCAGAUGUCAUGCUCAGCUUGGCCUGAUUCCAGGGACCAAUAAAUACAAGAAGCCAAUGUGCCUGCAUAAGAAAGGAAGUUAGGGGAAGACUCCUUAACAGACCCCGGCUGCAGAGGCGUGAUCAGUGAAGGAGACGGGACUGUCUUCCCUUAGAUGCUUCUGGGACCUGGGCUGAGGUAGAGUCUGACAUCUUUGGCAGAUUUUGCAGUGUCAGCUCACAAAUCCGUGGGCUAUACUCCCCACCCAUGGUGGGCAAGGCGACUGUCCACCUUGUGACUCCACCCCUUUGGCCAAUGCUGAUUGGACAAGAACGGGCACUGGUACCCAAGCCAGGCCAAUCAGAAUGCCUUCUCCAGGAAUUUGGAAAGGUGACUAAGGAAUCCCAGACUCAGUGGGAAUCUGGAGCUAUCAGGGGUCAACCAGCUGCCCUGGGGGGCUGAGGACCCUGAGUGCCACCACAAGCAGGAAGCCGACACACAGAGAGAGGCAGUGGGAGGGUGCUGGGCAGACCAGACUUUUCCCGGUCCUGGAUCAAGGCCACGGACCUACCUUUGUAUUUUAGAGACUCCCCUUUUGGGUUUUGGUUGUAUCAUUUUAUUAAAGUCUCUUUUUCUCAUGUUUAA